rnacentral:rRNA from 1 species
GAUCUCAAGUCAUGUGAGAGUACCCGCUGAACUUAAGCAUAUCAAUAAGCGGAGGAAAAGAAACUAACAAGGAUUCCCCUAGUAACGGCGAGUGAAGCGGGAAGAGCACAAAUUUAAAAUCUACCUGGUUUUCAGGUCGAGUUGUAAUUUGAAGAUACGUUUUUGACGUUCAGGGUUGGACUAAAUCCUUUGGGAUAAGGUAUCAUGGAGGGUGAGAAUCCCGUAUAUACCAACCAUAGGGAUGUUAUUUAAUACGUUUCUAAGAGUCGAGUUGUUUGGGAAUGCAGCUCUAAAUGGGUGGUAAAUUUCACCUAAUGCUAAAUAUAAGCGAGAGACCGAUAGCGAACAAGUACAGUGAUGGAAAGAUGAAAAGAACUUUGAAAAGAGAGUUAAAUAGUACGUGAAAUUGUUGAAAGGGAAACGAUUGAAGUCAGUCAUGCCGGUGGGAAUCAACUUAGGGGAAACUCUAAGUGCACUUCUUCGCUUGGCAGGUCAACGUCGAUUUUGGAUGUCAUAAAAUGAUUGGGGGAAGGUAGCUCCUUAGGGAGUGUUAUAGCCCUUGGUAGAUGUGAUGUCUGGGAUCGAGGAUUGCAAUGGAUACCCUUUGGGGCUAGCUGCCUGAUCUCUAAUUGGUAUUGGGUUACGGAUAGCAUGCUGACCGUGAUCUAAUUAUUGGUUAAAAGGUUAGAGCGUGCAUAAAUUCAUUAAGGACGUUGACGUAAUGGCUUUAAACGACCCGUCUUGAAACACGGACCAAGGAGUCUAACAUGUAUGCGAGUGUU